rnacentral:rRNA from 1 species
UUGAAAGGGAAACGAUUGAAGUCAGUCGUACCUGUGGGUAUCAGCCUUUUGGGUGUGAUUUUGUGGAGUGUGAGGAGUUAAACGCCUUCAUGCCUGCAUAUUCGUGCACUUUGGUGUAUUUGCCCGUGUGGUAAGUUAACAUCAAUUUCGGUGGUCAUAAAAUGGCUGGAGGAAUGUAGCUUCGAUCUUGUAUUGAAGUGUUAUAGCCUUCGGUAGAUGUGAUGAUCGGGAUUGAGGAUUGCAACGGAUACCCUUCGGGGCUACCUGUCUGAUCUCUGAUCGUUGCUCUGGUGCCGAAAGCUUGCUUACGGUUAUCAAAGUCGAUGGUCAAUAGGUUAGAACGGGUUAAAUUCGUUAAGGAUGUUGACGUA